rnacentral:rRNA from 1 species
GUGUCAGCCGCCGCGGUAAUACCCGCAGCACAAGUGGUGGUCAUUAUUAUUGGGCCUAAAGCGUCCGUAGCUGGCCUGUUAGAUGCCUGGGUAAAUCGAUGCGCUCAACGUAUCGAACUCCGGGUAGACCGGCAGGCUUGGGACCGGGAGAGGCGUGAGCUACUCGGGGGGUAGGGGUAAAAUCCUGUAAUCCUCCGGGGAGGACCAGUGGCGAAGGCGUCACGCUAGAACGGCUCCGACAGUGAGGGACGAAGCCCUGGGGCGCAAACCGGAUUAGAAACCCUCGUAGUCC